rnacentral:rRNA from 1 species
UACGGAGGGGGCCGGCGUUGUUCGGAAUCAUUGGGCGUAAAGGGCGCGUAGGCGGCCGACCAAGUCGGAGGUGAAAUCCCUCGGCUCAACUGAGGAACUGCCUCCGAUACUGGCCGGCCUGAGUCCCGGAGAGGGUAGUGGAAUUCCGAGUGUAGCGGUGAAAUGCGUAGAGACUCGGAAGAACACCAGUGGCGAAGGCGGCUACCUGGACGGGUACUGACGCUGCAGCGCGAAAACUAGGGGAGCAAACAGG